rnacentral:rRNA from 1 species
CUAACAAGGAUUCCCUUAGUAACUGCGAGUGAAGCGGGAAGAGCUCAAAUUUAAAAUCUGGUGGCCUUUGGCUACCCGAGUUGUAAUCUAGAGAAGCAUCAUCCACGCUGGRCCGUGUACAAGUCUCCUGGAAUGGAGCGUCAUAGAGGGUGAGAAUCCCGUCUUUGACACGGAUUACCAGGGUUUUGUGAUAUGCUCUCAAAGAGUCGAGUUGUUUGGGAAUGCAGCUCUAAAUGGGUGGUAAGUUCCAUCUAAAGCUAAAUAUUGGCGAGAGACCGAUAGCGAACAAGUACCGUGAGGGAAAGAUGAAAAGAACUUUGGAAAGAGAGUUAAACAGUACGUGAAAUUGUUGAAAGGGAAACGCUUAAAGUCAGUCGCAUUAGCUAGGGAUCAACCUUGCUUAUGCUUGGUGUACUUCCUGGUUGAUGGGUCAGCAUCAAUUUUGACCAAUGGAAAAAGGCUGAGGGAACGUAGCAUCUUCGGAUGUGUUAUAGCUUUCAGUCACAUACAUUAGUUGGGAUUGAGGAAUUCAGCACGCCGCAAGGCCGGGUUUUUAACCACGUUCGUGCUUAGGAUGCUGGCAUAAUGGCUUUAAUCGACCC